GCCAGACUCCUACGGGAGGCAGCAGUGAGGAAUAUUGGUCAAUGGGAGAGAUCCUGAACCAGCCAAGCCGCGUGAGGGAAGACGGCCCUAUGGGUUGUAAACCUCUUUUGUCGGAGAACAAAACCCGGGACGUGUCCCGGACUGCGUGUAUCCGAAGAAAAAGCAUCGGCUAACUCCGUGCCAGCAGCCGCGGUAAUACGUAGGGGGCAAGCGUUAUCCGGAAUUACUGGGUGUAAAGGGAGCGUAGACGGUGAUGUAAGUCUGGAGUGAAAGGCGGGGGCCCAACCCCCGGACUGCUCUGGAAACUAUGUGACUGGAGUGCAGGAGAGGUGAGCGGAAUUCCUAGUGUAGCGGUGAAAUGCGUAGAUAUUAGGAGGAACACCAGUGGCGAAGGCGGCUCACUGGACUGUAACUGACGUUGGGGCUCGAAAGCGUGGGGAGCAAACAGGAUUAGAUACCCCCGUA
rnacentral:rRNA from 1 species